rnacentral:rRNA from 1 species
AUUGAACGCUGGCGGCAGGCCUAACACAUGCAAGUCGAGCGGAUGAAGGGAGCUUGCUCCUGGAUUCAGCGGCGGACGGGUGAGUAAUGCCUAGGAAUCUGCCCGGUAGUGGGGGAUAACGUCCGGAAACGGGCGCUAAUAUCGCAUACGUCCUGAGGGAGAAAGUGGGGGAUCUUCGGACCUCACGCUAUCAGAUGAGCCUAGGUCGGAUUAGCUAGUUGGUGGGGUAAAGGCCUACCAAGGCGACGAUCCGUAACUGGUCUGAGAGGAUGAUCAGUCACACUGGAACUGAGACACGGUCCAGACUCCUACGGGAGGCAGCAGUGGGGAAUAUUGGACAAUGGGCGAAAGCCUGAUCCAGCCAUGCCGCGUGUGUGAAGAAGGUCUUCGGAUUGUAAAGCACUUUAAGUUGGGAGGAAGGGCAGUAAGUUAAUACCUUGCUGUUUUGACGUUACCAACAGAAUAAGCACCGGCUAACUUCGUG